rnacentral:rRNA from 1 species
GAUCAUGGCUCAGGAUGAACGCUAGCGACAGGCCUAACACAUGCAAGUCGAGGGGCAGCGGAGAGGUAGCAAUACCUUUGCCGGCGACCGGCGCACGGGUGAGUAACACGUAUGCAAUCCACCUGUAACAGGGGGGAUAACCCGGAGAAAUCCGGACUAAUACCCCAUAAUAUGGGCUCUCCGCAUGGAAGGUCCAUUAAAGAGAGCAAUUUUGGUUACAGACGAGCAUGCGCUCCA